UAAUGGACCGAGAAUAUGGGUUGGUGGUGCAUGUAUAAAGAAGGGCGUUAGGGGAUGGCAAAUAAGAGCAUGCGGCUCAGGCUUAAGACAAAAGACUAUAACUGAAAACAGAUUCCUUACCCACGGCUUACAAAGAUUUUUACCCACGGCUUACACAUGUCUUGACAAAGACAAAGAUUUAUUACCCACGGCUUACAAGUCUUAAAGACCAAAGACUUUUCUGUUUUCAGUUAUUUGAAUGGUACAGUUUGAGAAAGUCCUAAGACAAGGACUAUAACUGAAAACAUUGUCCCUUGCUGCCUCUAAAAGAAACUUAUGUCAUCCCCUAAUGGACCGAGAAUAUGGGUUGGUGGUGCAUGUAUAAAGAAGGGCGUUAGGGGAUGGCAAAUAAGAGCAUGCGGCUCAGUCUUAAGACAAAAGACUAUAAAUGAAAACAGAUUCCUUACCCACGGCUUACAAAGAUUUAUUACCCACGGCUUACACAUAUCUUAGACAAAGACAAAGAUUUAUUACCCACGGCUUACAAGUCUUAAAGACCAAAGACUUUUUUGUUUUCAGUUAUUUGAAUGGUACAGUUUGAGAAAGUCCUAAGACAAGGACUAUAACUGAAAACAUUGUCCCUUGCUGCCUCUAAAAGAAACUUAUGCCAUCCCCUAAUGGACCGAGAAUAUGGGUUGGUGGUGCAUGUAUAAAGAAGGGCGUUAGGGGAUGGCAAAUAAGAGCAUGCGGCUCAGUCUUAAGACAAAAGACUAUAACUGAAAACAGAUUCCUUACCCACGACUUACAAAGAUUUAUUACCCACGGCUUACACAUGUCUUAGACAAAGACAAAGAUUUAUUACCCACGGCUUACAAGUCUUAAAGACCAAAGACUUUUAUGUUUUCAGUUAUUUGAAUGGUACAGUUUGAGAAAGUCCUAAGACAAGGACUAUAACUGAAAACAUUGUCCCUUGCUGCCUCUAAAAGAAACUUAUGCCAUCCCCUAAUGGACCGAGAAUAUGGGUUGGUGGUGCAUGUAUAAAGAAGGGCGUUAGGGGAUGGAAAAUAAGAGCAUGCGUCUCAGUCUUAAGACAAAAGACUAUAACUGAAAACAGAUUCCUUACCCACGGCUUACAAAGAUUUUUACCCACGGCUUACACAUGUCUUGACAAAGACAAAUAUUUAUUACCCACGGCAUACAAGUUUUAAAGAUCAAAGACUUUUCUGUUUUCAGUUAUAUGAAUGGUACAGUUUGAGAAAGUCCUAAGACAAGGACUAUAACUGAAAACAUUGUCUCUUGCUGCCUCUAAAAGAAACUUAUGUCAUCCCCUAAUGGACCGAGAAUAUGGGUUGGUGGUGCAUGUAUAAAGAAGGGCGUUAGGGGAUGACAAAUAAGAGCAUGCGGCUCAGUCUUAAGACAAAAGACUAUAACUGAAAACAGAUUCCUUACCUACGGCUUACAAAGAUUUUUACCCACGGCUUACACAUGUCUUGACAAAGACAAAGAUUUAUUACCCAC
rnacentral:lncRNA from 1 species